rnacentral:misc_RNA from 1 species
AAAAGAAAAGAAAAGAAAGGAAAAUUUCAAAUUUAAAUUACAAUUAUGACAUAAGCAAUGACAUGAUUAAAAUUAGGGAUUAAAUAAAAAUUAAAUUAGAGAUAAAUAUAUAAAGGAGACAAUUACACUAAAAAUCAAAAAGGCAUUCUUCCCUUUCUCUCUCCCAUUGUGCCGCCCCCAUAGUUCCCUCUCUCCCUCCAUUCUUCACCCUUCCAAGCUCUUAAUUCCUUCAAAUUUCUUCCUACUUUCCAUAACCCACUAUAAGAAAACUUGAAAUUUUAGCAUUGGGUGAAAGAUUUGAGUAAGAAGAACAAGAAAUUGGGAGAAAUUAGGAGUUAGGAAAAAUCAUCAAGUAAGGUAAGCUCUCUUUUAUGCUUAAUUAAUUAAGUAUGCUUUGAAUCAAAUUUGGGUGUAAUGAAUUUACAUAAGGAAGCAUGAAAAAAAUGCAUGAAUCUUGAAAGGGAAAUUUGUGGCCAACUUGGGGAAAACCUAGGGUUUAUGUGUUUUAACUUAAUUUAUAAUGGAUUCGAGUUUAAUUGAAGUAGUAUACAUGAUUGGGGUAGGGGAAUUACAUGAGAUUUGCAUAAAUUGGAAAAUUGAAAAUUAGGGUUCAUGGGAAAUUGGGGCUUUUAUUGUAUGAAGUGUAAUUAGUGUUUAUAAUAGCAAUUUGUGAUCAUUUGAAGUUCUUUGAGUGUGAAGUGACAUUUAUAUAAUGAAUGGAAGUAAUGAAAUUGUAUGGAUUGGGGAAAUUGCAAACUAGGGAUUUGAAAAAUUAGGAGUUUUGUGCUAGGAAGUGCCAUUGAUGUGUUUAAUGUUAACUUAUGGUCAUUUGAGGUGAAUUAAAUGUGAGUUGAGGUUGGUUAGUAGAAGUAAUUGAAGAAAUGAAAAUUAAACCUUAGGCAGAAUUUCUGCACACUGAGUCCAGUGUGCUUGGCAGCUCAUAAGUU